rnacentral:lncRNA from 10 species
CAGACGGCCAGGGGACCUUGACCUCCUUAGCAAACAGGAAACAAAGUGCUCUUGUUCUCAGGCCGGAAUGAAGCGGCUGUGCGAACACAUCCCAAUUGUACAUCUGAUGCUGACUCACACAGAGCGUUUCCAUUUUUAGAUUUCAGCUACAGAAGGCAGGAAUCCUUUGGACUUGGCCCUUUAUCAGUGGAAUGGACAGAGCUCUCGGUGGGGUCUCUGUUGGGAAUGCCUGCUGAGACGGGACCAAGGACGGCUGCAGGAUGUGGUGUCUGUGCUCAGCGUCACCUCCUCCCAGGCUCCUGGGAAGCACCUGAGCAUCUCCUGACAAAGCCACCAUGAGCAAGACCCUCAGAGAAGGUAUGAAGAUGAGAGGCUGGUGUGAAGAGGCUGCUGUGAAGCAACUAUAUAGCAUCGGGCAGGACAUAAGGGGAAAUUGUUGCUUUCAUGUUCCUUUACCCCCACAGUUUGGAUUUCUGCCACAAGGAUCACUGUGGUCUUCCUCCCUGGGGCUCACUCCACCUACCCCACACCUCCCACCUCCCCCGUCCUCUCUUGGGGGACUUCCUGAGUUCUCGACAGAGCAGUUUCACUGUCUUCUCUCCACGCUUCCUGGACUGGCCCGCCCAUUUUUUUCUAUGACCCAGAAUUCCUUCCCAAAUAAGAGCGUCAUAUUCCUUGAGCCCCUUCACUAGAAGCAAGGAGAUGGGCAGGCGUUGAACUGCGGCUUUUCUCUAGACUCUUCCCUAAUCCCUAGGUUCCCCCAACUAUUUAGUCUAGAGCAAGCCCAGGAACAGUGAUUUUUUUUUUUUAACCUGCCAUUUCUGUUAUUCAAGCUGUUUUAGUCAGUUCAGGCUGCUGUAACAAAAAUGCAAUGGCCUGGGUGGUUUUAACAACAGAAAUGGAUUUCUCACAGUUCUUGUGAGGCUGGGACGCAGGAACCCCCACAUCCAAGUGCCAGGCAGUUCCGUGGCUGGGAGGGCUCCAGACUGGUGUGUGGAUGGCACCUUCUGCUGUGUCCUCACAUGGCUGAGAGAUGGGUCAUCUCUGUUCUUAUCAGGGCACUAAUCCCAUUCACAAGGCCCCCCAUGACCUAAUCAC